UUUUUUNNNNNNNNUCAGGAUGAACGCUGGCGGCGUGCCUAAUACAUGCAAGUCGAACGCUUUGUCUUUAAUUGAUCUGACGAGCUUGCUCUGAUGUGAUUUUAUCUGACAAAGAGUGGCGAACGGGUGAGUAACACGUGGGUAACCUACCUCUUAGCAGGGGAUAACAUUUGGAAACAAGUGCUAAUACCGUAUAAUACCAACAACCGCAUGGUUGUUGGUUGAAAGAUGGUUCUGCUAUCACUAAGAGAUGGACCCGCGGUGCAUUAGCUAGUUGGUAAGGUAAUGGCUUACCAAGGCAAUGAUGCAUAGCCGAGUUGAGAGACUGAUCGGCCACAAUGGGACUGAGACACGGCCCAUACUCCUACGGGAGGCAGCAGUAGGGAAUCUUCCACAAUGGGCGCAAGCCUGAUGGAGCAACGCCGCGUGUGUGAUGAAGGGUUUCGGCUCGUAAAACACUGUUAUAAGAGAAGAACGGCACUGAGAGUAACUGUUCAGUGUGUGACGGUAUCUUACCAGAAAGGAACGGCUAAAUACGUGCCAGCAGCCGCGGUAAUACGUAUGUUCCAAGCGUUAUCCGGAUUUAUUGGGCGUAAAGCGAGCGCAGACGGUUAUUUAAGUCUGAAGUGAAAGCCCUCAGCUCAACUGAGGAAUGGCUUUGGAAACUGGAUGACUUGAGUGCAGUAGAGGAAAGUGGAACUCCAUGUGUAGCGGUGAAAUGCGUAGAUAUAUGGAAGAACACCAGUGGCGAAGGCGGCUUUCUGGACUGUAACUGACGNNNG
rnacentral:rRNA from 1 species